UUAACUUAAAUUUGUAUGCAGUUGGAACAGCGCCCCUAGCGGCAAACGUAGACAAACGUUCCAACUCCAUACAAAUUUGAGUUA
rnacentral:pre_miRNA from 1 species